rnacentral:rRNA from 1 species
GAUGAACGCUGGCGGCGUGCCUAAUACAUGCAAGUCGAACGGAGAUAUUGUAGCAAUACGGUAUCUUAGUGGCGAACGGGUGAGUAACGCGUUGGUGACCUGCCCCGAAGAGGGGGAUAACAGUUCGAAAGGAUUGCUAAUACCCCAUACGGUUACGAGGAUUAGAAGCUUGUAACCAAAGGCGAAAGUCGCUUCGGGAGGGGCCUGCGUCCCAUCAGCUAGUUGGUAAGGUAACGGCUUACCAAGGCGACGACGGGUAGGGGACCUGAGAGGGUGGCCCCCCACAAUGGAACUGAAACACGGUCCAUACACCUACGGGUGGCAGCAGUAGGGAAUAUUAGUUAAUGUGCGAAAGCGCGAACUAGCAACGCCGCGUGUGCGAUGAAGGCCUUCGGGUCGUAAAGCACUUUUCGAGAAGAUGAGGAAGGACAGUACUCUCGGAAUAAGUCUCGGCUAACUACGUGCCAGCAGCCGCGGUAAAACGUAGGAGGCAAGCGUUAUCCGGAUUUACUGGGCGUAAAGCGUAUGCAGGCGGUUUGUUAAGUUGGAUGUGAAAGCUCCUGGCUCAACUGGGAGAGGUCGUUCAAAACUGACAGACUUGAGGGCGGUAGAGGGAAGUGGAAUUCCGUGUGUAGUGGUGAAAUGCGUAGAUAUACGGAGGAACACCAGUGGCGAAAGCGGCUUCCUGGACCGAACCUGACGCUCAUAUACGAAAGCUAGGGGAGCAAACGGGAUUAGAGACCCCGGUAGUCCUAGCUGUAAACGAUGUGAACUUGGCGUUGGUGGGUUUAAAUCCAUCGGUGCCGAAGCAAACGCGAUAAGUUCACCGCCUGGGGACUACGACCGCAU